rnacentral:rRNA from 1 species
AUGCCUGGAGGCAGGACUGCCCACUCGAGGUUCAAGAUCCCAUUGAGCUGCGACGAUGGCGCCUCAUGCACCUUCACGAAGCAGAGUGGUAUUGCCAAGCUACUAAGGAUGGCCUCAUUGAUACUAUGGGACGAGGACACCAUGACUAAGCGACAGGCGGUCGAGGCACUCGACAACAGCAUGCGCGACAUCAUGGGAAGACGGGACCAACCCUUUGGAGGAAAAACUGUUGUGUUUGGCGGGGACUUCAGGCAGGUGCUUCCAGUCGUCAGGAGGGGGUCCCGGGGUCAGAUAAUCGAUGCAACCCUUCGAAGUUCACAUCUCUGGAAAGGUAUGCGCCAGCUAAGGCUCGUCACCAACAUGAGGGCUCAUAAUGACACCUGGUUUGCAGAUUACUUGCUAAGGGUAGGCAAUGGUACCGAGGAAGUUGAUGAUCAAGGAAACAUACGACUCCCAGAAGACAUUUGUGUGCCGUCUACAGGCGAGGGUGACGACCUGGAGAAGCUGAUUGACCAUGUGUUUCCGAGACUAGAUGUCAACAUGUCUGAUCCGAAUUACAUGACUUCACGCGCAAUCCUCUCCACCACGAACGACAACGUCGACAAGAUAAAUAUACACAUGGUAGAGCGUUUCCGGGGAGAAGAAGUAAUCUACCAUAGUUUUGACAGUGCAGAAGACGACCCAUAUGGCUACUACGCUCCCGAGUUCCUAAAUGGAUUGACUCCCAACGGUCUGCCUCCGCAUGCACUCAAACUGAAGCUCAACUGCCCUGUCAUACUUCUAAGGAACAUUGAUCCGGCUAAUGGUCUGUGUAACGGGACGAGGCUUGUGGUGCGAGGUUUCGAGAGGAACGCCAUCGACGCAGAAAUCGUGAUCGGACAACACGCAGGUAGGAGGGUAUUCCUUCCUCGAAUACCCCUAUGCCCGUCUGAUAACGACAUGUUUCCAUUCAAGUUCAAGAGGAAGCAAUUUCCUGUAAGGCUUAGCUUUGCUAUGACGAUUAACAAGGCACAAGGACAGACGAUUCCGAUUGUUGGCGUGUACCUACCUAAUCCGGUGUUUUCUCAUGGUCAACUCUAUGUCGCAUUGUCUCGAGCCACCGCAAAGAGAAAUAUAAAGAUCCUCAUUGAGAAGGAGAAGGACAAUGAGAAUGGCAAGAAGCAAAGCAGUAAAUCAAAGAAGCGAAAAAGACCUACCUUGUCCUUACAAACCUCGAUGAAGAACAUUGUCUAUAAGGAAGUCCUUACAGGCUGA